rnacentral:rRNA from 1 species
UACGUAGGGACCAAGCGUUGUUCGGAUUUACUGGGCGUAAAGGGCGCGUAGGCGGCAAUUCAAGUCAUCUGUGAAAUCUCCGGGCUUAACUCGGAACGGUCAGAUGAUACUGCUUUGCUAGAGUGCGGAAGGGGCAAUCGGAAUUCUCGGUGUAGCGGUGAAAUGCGUAGAUAUCGAGAGGAACACCAGAGGUGAAGACGGGUUGCUGGGCCGACACUGACGCUGAGGUGCGAGAGCGUGGGGAGCGAACCGG